UUUUUUUUUUUUUUUGUCUUUUUGUCUUUUUGCUAUUUCUUUGGGCCGCUCCUGCGCCAUAUGGAGGUUCCCCGGCUAGGGGUCGAAUCGGAGCUGUAGCUGCCAGCCUACGCCGGAGCCACAGCAACGCGGGAUCCGAGCCACGUCUACAACCUACACCACAGCUCACGGCAACGCCGGAUCAUUAACCCACUGAGCAAGGGCAGGGAUCAAACCCGCAACCUCAUGGUUCCUAGUCGGAUUCGUUAACCACUGCGCCACGACGGGAACUCCCAUUUUUGAUUUUUUUAAAGGAAAAAAAAAAGGGAGUUCUUACUGUGGUACAGUGGACCGUGUGUUAAGAAUCUGACUGCAGUCGCUCGGGUCGCUGCAAAGGUGUGGGUUUAAUCCCCAGCCUGGGGCAGUGGGUUAAAGGAUCUGGCGUUGCUGUAGCUGUGGCUCAGAUUCAGUCGCUGGCCUGAAACUUCCAUAUGCCGAGGGGAAAAAAAAAAAAACAAAAAAAUGCCAAGGGCUAGGAAGGAGCUCUGAAAUGAUCUAGCACACAGUUCUGUGACUACAGACUAAAACUCAUGUCAACAACUGACCCAGCCCUCACCUUCCAGAGCAGGGUCACUCAGCCUUAGCACUAUCAACAUUUUGGACCAGACAAUGCUUUGUGGCAGAGGCCGUCUUGUGCAUUGUGGGAAAAUCAGCAGUGUUCCUUGGCACCCACUGGAUGCCAGUAGACCCCCAUCACCGUGGUUACAAACAAAAAAUGUCUCUAAAGAAUGUAACUAUCAUCCAAGGGCCAAUUGGCCUGAUUGAGGCAUACGGAGAGGAAUCCAUCUUCUUCCUCAGACUACCGUCUCUGCCGUGAACCCCAGGGUCAGAAAUAGCAGGGCCAAGUCCACUCACGACUCCUCGUCUAAUGCUGGGAACUUGUCCUCCUGGCAGCCGCUACACUUGGCUUUGUGUCCUUUCUCAACCAACCACGACUGGAGAUUAACAGGCCAGUUAGCAUUGGGCUAAGUGCUAACCAAGCAGGGCUGUUCUUUUUCCUCCUUAGCAGCAGGCCAGGGCCAGAUUCACCUUUCCCUUCCAGGGGCCCCUGAUCUCUGGAAGCAUAUGCUCCCAGGGGGAAGGGAAGCUCUUCCCACCCAGCCGCAUCACGCCAAGCCCUGCUGUGAGCUCCAAAGGUGCUGAGUGUCCCAGCUUUGCUACAACUCUGUUGUCUCACGUGGUCUCUGGGAGCAUCUUCAGUGCCCUGCAUCAGCCACGUCAGCCUUCUUAGGCUGCAUUUAGCCUACCACACACAAAAAGCUCUGUGCAGCGGUUUGCAAAGCAGCCAAGGGAUCAGGCCCCUGUUCUGGAGAUGCCCGCUGUCUUUCCAGAUGGUACACCAGGAAAAAGAACAAAAAUAAAUCCAUCAUGCACCGUGCAAAAACCACAUCAUAUUUUAGACUCCACAUAUAAGUGAUGUCAGAUGGUGUUUGUCUUUCUCUUUCCAACUUACUUCACUUAGUCUUAGAAUCUCUAGUUCCAUCCGUGUUGCUGCAAAUAGCAUUAUUGUGUACUUUCUAAUGGCUGAAUAGUAUUCCAUUGUAUAUCUGUACCACAUCAGCUUAAUCCAUUCACCUGUCAAUAGACAUUUGAUUUGUUGCCCUAAACUAUGGCACAAAUAAUCUACAAAGCAGAAACAGAUCACGGAUGUGGAGGGCAGACCUGCAUUUGCUAGCCGGGAGGGAGAGGGAGGGGGACAGCUGGGGAGUUUGGGGUUGGUAGAUGCACACUGUUACAGUUAGAAUGGAUGGGUGAUGGGGUCCUGCUGUAAAGCACAGGAAACUCUGUUCGGUCUCUUGGGUUAGAACAUAAUGGAAAAAAGAAGAAUUGUGUGUGUAUAGGUGGCUGGGUCACUUUGCUGUACAGCAGAAAUUGAAGGAGUAUUGUAAAUCAACUAUACUAAAAAAAUUAAAAAAAGAAAAAACAACCCACAUGGUGGCUGGAGUCACCACGUCUUCCCUCCCUCAACGGCGGGAAUGGGGAGGAAAGAAUUCUGGCCUCCCCAUCUCAGCCAUUCAGUUACCUACAAGUCAGCUAAUUAGAGACACCACCGCUCAGCGGAAACCAAGACAUAAUUCAAAUGAAGGCAGCCAAGCCCAGCUCCCCCAUCUAACACGGGAUAAUUCACUUUUUAUUGUUGUUAUUCAUCAUUACUAAUCCUGAUUAUUAGUCCUGAUUAGCAAGGUGCUUUUUAUGCUAAAUAACCCUUAGGAGAAUCACGCCCAGUAGGCACAUCCAAAUUGAAUGGGGAAGAGCCGGAAUAAUUACCAUUUUGCAACUUGAGGCUGUCAGAAAUGAGUGUUACCUGCUCAGACCACGGUGAAUCAAGAGUCUAGCUGGUCCUCUAUUUUGGGUCUGAACCCAAAGGCAAUGCUACCCAAUGAGGUCCUAUCAUGUGACGUGCAAGUUCAGGCUUUGUGAAUUAUCAAACGUCUCCCCCUUGUCUGGGGAAAUGAAUUUCCAAAUCCAAACACGUGGCAAGUCCAAAUGUGAACCCCAGUUUUAUGUGACUUCUUUCCCAAGCCCCAGAUCCAGCAUUAGUUUGAUGGAGCUCUUUUCAUUUUUUUUUACAAAAUAAUUUUACAAAAUAUUAUUUUCAACAAAAUAGAAAAUAAACUUGCAAUCACAUCUCUGGUGGGAAAAAUGAAUCCGUGUGUUUUUGCUUCAUUUGCAAUUUAAUCACCACACUGUUUUUAAAUCAUCCUUUGGUGAUAUGGAGCCUAUUUAGCCUUAAUGAGCUUUGGGAAAAUGGAAGGGGUUUUUUUAUAGAAUAAUUUCUAUUUCAAAAUGAUAUACCAACAAUACAUAAGGUUUAGAAAAGAGAGAAAAACACACAGAAUCCCACUAUCCAAACAAUAUUUGAGGGUACCCCCUCCUUGCAGUGGAUAAGCAAUUUUAACGAGAUGCUCAGUGGAUGAAAGAAGCUAAUCCAAUCAGGAUUUUAGGAGGAGGGCUGGGGGCUUGUUGCCUGAGAAAAUCAAAGCACGAACUAGCCCCAACUGGGAAGGUGCAUUUUGAAGGAGUUUAGGAAAAACUCACUGUCAUCCCAUUUGUUUAGGCUGGAACACAGUAAAAAAAUCUUCCCCCUCCUGUCCCGCUCUGUUACACGCUUUCAAUGUCCUCCUGCCUCUUCCCUGAUGGAAGGCUUCCUCCUUUAUCUCCAGCUGUCCCAUCAAGGCUGCAUGCUGCCCAGGCCAGACUAGGCAUCUGUGUGCACCCCGGGUGGGCCUCCAACCCCACCAACUGCCGCUGCUCCCCAGAAAGCAAAAACCACAGUGUGGACCCCAGAGUCCCUCAGUCCCUUUGCAGAACAGCCCUGCUAAGGUGAGCCUUCUCACGGACAGGAUGCAGAAGGAUGCCCUGCAGAAGUCUCUUAUACACAGCCCAAGGUGGAAGUGUGGCCACCAUUGGGGUUUUUAAAACUACUUGUCAUUAUAAACAACUUGAGAAUAACCGAAUCAUCUGGAGUUAGAGCACAAAGACGAGUCGAGGGUCUGGGGUUCAUCACAUCCACCCAAAUCCGACCCUUCAGUCCCCAAACACCUUCUCACACAGUAUCAGGACUGGCAUCUCCCAAGUCGUUUUUUCAGUCCUGAAUGCAGCUCUGAACUGAUUGAGUUGAACUUAGAUCAACAG
rnacentral:lncRNA from 1 species